rnacentral:rRNA from 1 species
CAUAAUAACUUGCCUCCUAAUUAGAGGAUAGCAUGAAAGGAAAUACGACUUAUUAACUUUCUAAAAACUACAAUUUAAAUUUUACCCAAAAGUAAAAAGGCUUUUAUAAAAAAGAGGGACAACAAGACCCUGACGAACUUUCACUAAUUUAGCUGGGGUAGCUAUCCAACAACAACUUCCAACCCCAACAUAAUACAGACCCAGUACUAUUGAUAAAAAAACAAGUUACCGCAGGGAUAACAGCAUCAUUCAAACUCAAGAGACCCUAUCCAAAGUUUGCCAUUUGACCUCGAUGUUGAAUUAAUAUAACUAUACUGAGCAAAAAAAGUACAAGUAGGUCUGUUCGACCUUUAAUUUAUUACAUGAUUUGAGUUCAGACCGGCGCAAGCCAGGUCAGUUUAUAUCUUCUUUAACCUAGUAUUAGUACGAAAGGACCAUACAAUUUAUCAAA